rnacentral:lncRNA from 1 species
UAAGGCAGGAUCUGCUCCCGGGCUCAGCCCUCACCGUCGGGACUGCGCUCUGCGGUGGGGAGCGACCCCAGCUUCCGCCCGCCCCAGAGGCCAUGGCUGGCGCCGGUUGCCUUGGCGACGCCGAGGACGCCAAGGUCUCUUCCCACGCAUGCGCGGAGCCCGCCCGUGCUCCUGGGUCUUCCAUCUCCCUGCUCCCUCCUGUCUCCUCCUCCGCGGACUUGGGGUCCCCAGGAGCCCUCCCCCGCCACCAGGAGGCCAGUCUCCUCCCCGGCAUGUCCACCUCCCGCCGCGCUGCUCGGGGCUCCCCUCCCCUCCCCUUGCUGGUUCCCAGAACUGGGCCUGGGUUAGUGCGGGGAAGGGGGGUGUGUUUGUUGAGUGAAUAAGCGAGUGACUGGGGAGGCUUGGUUUCGGGGUCCCAGAGCCCGAUUGACUCAGCUGAAAAGUUCAGGAGAAACAGAGACUUUUGCAGGAGCAGGCUGGGGGCUAGGGCAGACGAGUGAGGAGGACAAAGGGUCUGUUCCCUGUCACUCUGACAGAGAGAGGGGCUUCCUGCCAGGAAAGAGUGGUUUCUGGAGCAGACCAAGGAAGGAAACACCGCCCGAAUUCACGGAAGAGGCUGAGGACUCUGGCUGGAAACACGUGGCCGGCUUCUCGCCUCUCUCCUUGCGGCUAUUUGCCCUGUUUCCUGGCCAAGGUAGAAAGAGAACAAGCCAUUUUGCUCAUCAUCAACAAACCUUGACCAAGGAAGUGUCUGCGUGUGCAAUGUGCCAUCUGAACCCUGGAGGCAUAAGCAGUAUGGUCACUUGUCCCAGCAUUGUUGGGAAGUGAAAAUGUAUCCAUGGAAAGAGAGCAGAAAGAUAAGACUACGCCCCGGGGAUAAUGAAAAAGAGAGGACUUGACCGCUGAGGGAUGGAGUUCCAAGGAAGUCAGUCCUUGAUGGGGCCAAGCAGCAGGGGAAGACGGGCGCUAUCAGGCUGGGGACAGAGCCCAAGCCAAGACCCAGGUGUAUGAAUGGACAGGACCUGAGAUGACCCGGUGGGUCAAACUGUCUGACUGUAGAAGAGGAGCUGGGCAGAGAGCAGAGGUCCAGGGACAGGCCAAGGUUUGGAAUGCCAAGGUUUGGAAUUUAGGCUUGGCCCUGUGGGUAAUGGAGAGCUAUCAGUGGGUUUCAAGCAAAAGGGAGAUACCAAGUGCUGUGGCCAGCCAUGUUUCAGGAAGAUUGUUCUUGUCCACCUUUGUUUAUGUCAACCACAUUUAGAAGUAACAAAUGUCUGAUAGGGGGUCAGGUGCGGUGGCUUGUGCCUAUAGUGCCAGCUACUCAGGAGGCUGAGGCAGGAGGAUCGCUCAAGCCCAGGGAUUCAAGGAUGCUGUGAGCUACGAUCACGUCACUGCACUCCAGCCUGGGAAACAGGGUGAGACCCAGUUUCUAAAACAAACGAACAAACAAAUGUCUGAUGGGGAUGCAUCCUCCCAAUAGAAUACUAUUCAACCAUGGAUAAUGUGGGAAUAGAAUAUCUCUGUUGAUGUGAAAAGUUGUCCAAGACAGUUGAGUCAAAAAUAUCAGUAAGCAUAGUAAGAUCUUAUUUUUGUUUUAAAAAUCAUAUGCAUAAGUCCAGGCACGGUGGCUCACGCCUGUAAUCCCAGCAGUUUGGGAGGCCAAGGCAGGCAGAUCACUUGAGGUCAGGAGUUCGGGACCAGCCUGGCCAACAUGGUGAAACCCUGUCUCUACUAAAAAUACAAAAAUUAGCCGGGAGUGGUGGCGGGUGCCUGCAAUCCCAGACACUCAGGAGGCUGAGGCAGGAGAAUCGCUUGAACCUGGGAGGUGGAGGUUGCAGUGAGCCGAGAUCAUGCCACUGCACUUCAGCCUGGGCAACAGAGACUCCAUCUAAAAAAAAAAAAAAUUCAUAUGCAUAUACAUGUGUGUAUGUACAUGUGUGUGUGUGUGAAUACACAUACACACACACACACAGAUCCAACUGUGGAGCAGCUGUCAGAGUUGGCCGACCCGCAGCCUCCCCUAGAGUCUUCUGCAGAGGGUUCCUGCCCUCACCUACAGCCCCUCCACCUGAGGACACCUGGCCACAGGUAAGACAGGCCAGAAGGUGGCACAGGAGCAGCCCACAAGCAAUAAUGGAUGGGAGUUGAUAGCUAAACUCGCAGCCUCCUGGUCUCAGUGCGACAACUCUGAGGUGUCUCCCACAGAGCCUCUCAGUGAUGCCUGUGGGCUUGUGCCCAGGUGGCCCACAGUGACCUGCUCAGAAACACACACUUUACUGCCUUUUCUCCUCUCCCUGUCCCUUCUCCACUCUCUCGUAGUGCUCAUUUGGAUCUCCUUCCAAAGAAACGACUGCUCCCCAAGCCUGUGUCAGGGUCUGCUUUUGGGGGAUCCCAACGAAGACAUCAGCCUCCUACUCGCUCCACAUCUGCCUCCAGGCUACUGAAAACUCCUGGAAAAGGGACUUAAGUAGCUCUAUGAUACAUCUGCAUUCAGAGAUGUGAAAUACUGAAAUAGACAUUGAAGAAAAUGAGUUUGGGUGUACAAUGGUCAAUAGAUUCAACUGAAGCAAGGCUGGAGGCAGGGGGCCCAGCAAAGAGGCUGCCACACUUGUCCCUCUAAGGAAGCCUGCAGUGGGCUAGAGGUGGCCGUAGAAAACAGUCAGGAGGAGGUGAUCAUUCCAAUCCCUCAGAGGUAAAAGGGCAUGUUAACCGCUUGUGUUUUGAAAAACAAGGCUGAGAUCAAAACUAUCUGACUUAUGGUAUUCCAUUCGAUGUAUUUGUCAAAAGAAACGGAAGCAUUUGCCAUGAAGAAAGGAAAGCCACACACUUAUCUGCCUGAGCUAUUUUGCUCAUAGAAGAUCUCACAUCAGCGCAGCAGAAUAGGAGAUGACUUACUUUCCUGCUAUUUGACUUGCCUGCUAUUAUUUUCUUUGAGACACUGAACACUCCACCUAUUUCUUUUUUAUUUUCUUCUCAAUAGGAACUCUUGUUGGCCUCUUUGGAUUAUUUUGUUUUUCAGAUUUUUUUUUUUUUUUUUUUUUUAGUGAUCCAAGACAAUAUGUGCUAAAAGUCCUCCCCAUUGCCUUGGUAAAUCUAUUUCUGGGAAUAAGCUAAACAUAGGAGAAGAUUUAUACUAAAAAAUGUUCAUCAUAGUGUUAUUUUUAAAGGGUUAAAAAUUAAACAUUUGGCAGGACAUGGUGGCUCACGCCUGUAAUCGCAGCACUCUGGGAGGCCGUGGCAGGUGGGUCAUUUGAGGUCAGGAG